UCCCCAUCAGAGCAGAUAGUCGACAUAAAAAAGCUCCUGUUGUUUAAGGGUUGAUAAUGCUUUAUGUAUUUUUAUGUUUAUUUACAGUAAAAGAUAUUGCCCACAUUGCUUUUCUUUGCAUUCUCAAGGAUUAGGCAUAGCAUUUACACCAAAUUAAUAAGUUAAAAUUAACUUGAUACUUAUAAAACUUGUUGUCAUUGUGUAGCAAAGAAAUAUUUCACAAUAAAAGUACCAAGACCAUUAAUUUUCAGGUAUACUAGGGGAGGCAAAUCAUUCAUCUCCAUUUCUUAACCUCGUCGUCUUCAGUGACUGCGAGAGGGUUUUCUGAAGUGACGGUUGUUCCUGUAGCUACUGCAGGGCCUUGCUAUAUUCCCUGCAACACUAUCAUGCCCUUUAUGAUCCUCCUCUUCUUUAUGUGCACUGUUGUUGCUAUAAGUCAGAUGCCACUCCUCAUGAUUGUGCUAAGAUCAGUGGAUGAAGAGGAGAGGUCAUUUGCCCUGGGUGUACAGUUUGUGAUCUUCCGUCUGAUUGCUUACAUCCCAGCACCCAUCAUGUUUGGGUCUGUAAUUGACUCCGAUGUCUCCUAUGGAAGAGUUCGUGUGGAGAAAAAGGAGGACGCUGUCUCAUAUAUGAUAUUGAAGAGUUUAGAUUCAGAUAUGUGGGAAUCUGCACUGCUAUUAAGAUAAUCUCAGCUGCAAUAUUUGUAUUUGACUGGCUCUUGAUUCGCUGGAAGUACAAGCUUGACAUGGAGGGAACCAUGACAGUGGGAGACAUUGUCAAUUCUCUUAUGUCUGUUGAUAAAGAUGUAGAUGAACCCUCUGAUGAGUUAGAAGAGAGUGUUUGGCUCCCAGGCUCCAGGGGUCUCAGCAGGUGCCACCAUCGGGAACUUCUCAGUCUACCUCAGCCACUGGUGUGACACCCACCAUAACCACAGCUCACCAUCACUAUCAUCACAGGCGUAAUGGAUCGCUCAUCAAUCGGCCACCAUUACCUUCUCAUGGCUCCUGGCACAAGAGAUCUCAGUCAGGAUCAUACAUACCUUCUCGGCCAUGGGCAGGUUUGUAUCAACACCGGCUCCUCCCAGCUCAGGUUACCAACAUAUUCCUGGGCCACCUGGGCUACCACCACCAGGGAUUCUUGCCACACAACCGGGUCCAGCGCCGAGCCAGCUCAGGGCAGCAGGUUACUUUCCGUGGUUUGGCUGAAGACCCAAGUGACUUGACAGGAGUUAGAGUUGUUGUCCAUGGCCAUGUAAGUCUUGCUGAUGAAGAGGAUGUGGCAAUCAAAGUCUAAGGAGAAAAUAUUACUAUUUUAUUAUUUUCAUCUGUAUUUAUGAAUAUGCUUUUAUCCUGAUGGACUUAUAUAAAUAUAUACAGAUGAAAACUUAUUAAUACUAUUUUAAAAGAAGUCUUUGAUAAUGAUGAUUGAUAAAAGAAGUAUGAAUGUCAAGUAAUUUGAAUAAUAAAUGCUGUAGCCAUAUUUGUCAUUCUUUAAUGCUUAAAGAGGGAUUGUUAUGACACUCCUGCUCUUUGCCUCGCUAGGGGGACAGUGUGCCAUCAUAUUGUGUUAAUAGCUACAAAAUCUAUGGGAUAUAGAACAGAUUUGUUGCAGGCUUAAUAUCAGAUUGUAUUUCAUGAAAAAAAAACGUAUACUGUAUUACUUGCUUGCAUUGUUUUUCAUAUUGUUAGAUUAAUGUUUACAAAACAUGAUAUAAAAUUUUAGGGACAAUAACUCAAAAUAGAAUUGAAUGAAGCUUGCAGCUUAUAGAAAACACAAGUGUUUUACACAUGUGAUAGUUUACUUUCUAAACGAGUAUUUUAGAAGUGAUACAGUCAAAUUUGUCCUCAUUCCAAGCUUUUGUUUGGAAAUAUACAAACAAGGUUGUUUUAUGUAUAUAGAAAAAUAUUUAGAAUCUAGUUGUAUAUGAAAACUAAGUGCCUAAAAGUAGCAUGCCACUGGUACCAUUUCUGCUGAAUCAUUCUUGUGCUCAACUAAGCUUCAGUCAAAGUGAAUGCUGGGGUACUUGUGGUAGAUCAAGGAGUGUGCACAUGCAGGAUCCUUUCUCCUAAUUUUACUCUAAAUCAUCUUUAUAAAUUAAAUUUAUAUUGAAAAUUUCUUCAAAUUACAUAGUUAUUUUCAGCUCAAGUUUUAAGAAGUACAGUACAUGUACUGUAUCAAAAUAUUUCACAUAUGAAAAUUUGCAUGAUUAAAAACAAUCUAUACUUGUUCAUUUUACCAAGAAAUAUUGGAUUAUUAUUGCAUGUGUUAAGCCUCCUUACUGUUACCCAGUUACAGUAAUGGAUAAUAACAUUUAAAAAAUAAAUUUUAAUACUGUACGGCUGAGCAGGCAACAAUUUCUUGCUUCUGUUAACAACUUUUCUGAGUACAGUAUUAAGAAGUUUUUAGUGACAAAUAGAGUAAUGCAUAUUGCAAUUAGCUAAGAACCUCAGACACAUAUAAAUGAUUAUGAAGACACUUUGGUGCUGGAGGUAUCAGUCUGUGUUCGCAACUUAAGAUACUGUGUUGGGCAAAGAUGGUGGAGAUAUUUUCUAUAAUUAUGUAGAGCUGGUCUCUCACCCCAAACCGCCAAAUUGUCUAUACCCAUCUUAUGCUUCAAGGAUGCCACUACAAUAUGGAAUUACACAACUUCAUACAUUUGUUAAAGCUGAGGCACUUCACUUGUACAUGGUACAUAUUCUUAUGAUGUAGGUGGUAUAAAUAUUUGUAUUGGACACCCACUGUCAUAGGAAAUCACCUCUUUUUGAUGAUAUUUUCCCAUGUUAAUUAAUUUUCACAAAAUCCUUUAAAGACUACAAAUUUUGUUACUUCAAUUUUUUGUUGCUUUCAAAUAACUUUCAUAUUUUCUCAUUAUACAAGUAUGUAGAUUGUGCACAUGCCCUAAUUCUUUCACAUAUUUCAUAGUACAAGCAAAUUGAAACUCGUUAAUAUAUCAGAUACAGUAUGUUCUGAGCAAAUAUGUGGGUAUUUGUCCCCAAGACAGAAUUGCAGUUGUGUAAGAUUUUUUUAUGCCAUCCUGCAUUCAUUUGGAAUAGCUAACAAAAUGUAACUACUAUAUAAUUAGAUGAACAUUCUGCCAAAAGUUAGCAAGCAUUCAAAUCUAGUUAAAUCUGUAAACUAUAACUUCAGAACAGUUGGACAUAAUUUUCAGGGUACAGUAUAUCAAUGUCACAAAAAAUCACUGUAAUUUGUAUAAUUCUGUCAGUGCUAUCGUAAGUAAUUUGUUCAAGUUAAUUGGAUCAUGGAUGAUAUUGGUUCUUUAAAACUACAGUAUAUAGAGUACACUUGUACUCUAAAUAAAUAAAUAUUCUUGAGAAGUAAAGUCUUUUCAAAUCAUGUUAUGGAAUUAUUUUUAGUUGAUUAUGACCUUACUUGUUGGACUACGUACAUUGUUAACUUGUACCAUAGUGUUGAGAACUUAUUUGAUAAGCUCUCUUUCUUUUUAUAAGAAUGAAGAGUGGAAAAGAAAAUGAAAUGCCUCAUAUAUUAAGUUUUUCAUUCUUGGAGCAUCUUACAUUGUUUGAAAUUUGCUUUAAUUAUUUUCGAUACUAUAUUUCACACCUGUUGGUAUUCUUUGAUUCUACACAUGAUAAAAUUUACAUGGGAUGGAUUUCUGCACUUAAAACUUGUUCUCGAGUUCAGUAUUACUGUACUGUACUUUUAUCUUUAUUAUAUAAUAUUUAUCAAACAUGUUCUAAUUUAAAAGAGAAAUUGUCUUGAAUUCGGCAUCCUUUUGUACCAUGAAUGAUAGGCUCCAAACAUGAUGCCAUACCAAUCACAAUAUAUGAGCAUCCUGUACAGUAUGUACUGUACAGUAUAGAGAAAUAACCAAUUUAUUUGUUUCUGUAUUACUGUGAAGGAUUUUGCACAAUACAUUGUACAGACAAUAGUGUUACAGUAUCCUGUACUCUAUUCUUUAAAUCCAUUAUGCAUGAUAAGUGUAGAACAAUUUCAGUUAGUUACUUUUAUUAAUAAUAUCAGGUACAAAAAUGUUUAUUUUUCAGUCAUGUACAAGAAAAAGAACACAAUACAGUACCGUAUUUGAUAAUGCCUGGUCUUAAGAUUUCACUUGCAUGAAGAAUGGGCUAUCAAGACUGACUGGACUUGUAUUUAAGCAUUUAAUUGUUUUGCCUCAUUUUUGUUAGCUCUUGAGACUGCAAGUAACAUCAGAAAUUUAUAAAAUUUGUACCCAGUUUUGUUCAAUGAACUUACAUGAGUUUUAGGCAUACAGUAUUUGUUUUGUUGUUCAAUAUUGCAAAAAUUUAUGGACAAUGUACAUUAGUUGUAGUCUUUUUUCACAAAAUAAUGAGACCCAAAUACUGUAGAAUAAAGGUACUGUACAGUAUUGUAUAGAUUUUUGUUCAGAUUUCCAUCAGGUGUUAUAUUUGCACUUCCUGAAACUGUACUUACUAUAUUAGAAGUGGUAAAUAAUUUUUAAAUGACAUUUAUUUUGGUGUAUUUUAUAAACAGGUAACUUAUUGGAAUAUUGUAUUGUUUUUUAAUGUUUAUUUCUGGUGACUUAUCAAUGACCCAUGAAUUGAAAGAUUUUUAAUGCACUUAUUAAAAAGAAUCCAAUAGAAAUUUUUAGGAUUGUCAAAACAAACUGAUAAUUUAGUUGAAUCAUUAAAAGUUUUCACAAGGGAAAGUGAACGAUUCUCAGUGACAGUGAACAUGUAUGUGCAAUAUUAGAGGGUAUAAUUACUCAGAUUUUAUUAUUCUUUCUUAAUUUCUUACAAAUGGUGAUUUUUACACCCUGCUGUCAAUCUUUCACAACCAAAUAACAUUUGUGGAUCUACCAGUUCUGUACUACUUUAGGAAUUUACUAAAUGUAGUAAAUCUCACAUUUUUCACAUUUGCAAGCCCUCUCCCCAAAUGCUGCAGGGUGGCAGGAGUCAAGGGCAACAUGCCAAAUGAGGAAAAGUCAGUUGCUUAUAAUUUCAUCCAUCCUGUGCCGUAGCAAGAAAGGUCUUACAAGAGUGAGAGAGAAUUAGUAAUUUGGGUAUGGUCCAAAGAAAUUAUGUCAUGAAUGAUAUCUAACUAAAAUAACCAUAAGCAGAAAGCUGCCUAAUGACCUUAAGUCCUCAAACAGUUAGACUAUAUAUACGAGUAUUAUAUACUUUGUUAUAAAAACAUUACCUGCUGAAAUAUUAAGAAGCACUGUUAUUUCAUUAUUUCUUUUUAUCUUAAAUUUUCAUUGGUUAUUUUUAUAGGUUUUACUUGUUAGAUUCUCAGUAAUUACUAGAAGUUGGCUAUGACCACCAUCUAUUGGUUAUCAGUAGUAAUGACUAGCCAAAUAAUCCUGGUAUUCUUUGAGCUUCAAUAUUAUUUCUGACUAGCAUAUUGGCAUGGAAAUGCAUCAUAAAUAAGUGAAUAUAUUAAAUUAAGCUCUUUAUUUUUUUUUAAUAUUGACUGAGCUUGUAUUAGGUGAAGUAUUCUCUUAUUUAUUUGAAUCAUGAUACUGUGCAUCAGUGAAUCUCAUAUCCAUGUUCUGUCAUAAUAUUUGGACAGUGCUUUAUGAUGAUAGCAUUAAUAAUUGUAAGCUUAUGAAGAAGAUUACAAUUAGUUACACUGACAAUUAUGAGUGAAACAAAAAGGCUUCAGGAAUAAAACUGGUUGUUGAUUGAUAAUGACAGCAAUGACAGAAUGAAAAAAUUGGUGUCUCAUGAGAGUAACCUCCUGUGUAACUCAGUGACUUGUAAAGAUAGUGCAUGUAAUAUAUACACUAAAUUCACUUAAGGAGCUUCCAGGAAUGCAUGCAUGCAAAACUUCUCAUAGCCCUACAUUCCAGCAACUGUGAUGUGAUUUGCUACACCAGUUUUAUUCCUUUCUGCUUUUAUGGGAUUCCCAGUUAGAUCAGCAAUUGUAUGCCUCACUGUAGAGAACUGGAGUUAUUUCUCUUCCAAUCUAGUGGGAUAUAAAUUUAUGAUGUAGUGCAUACAGUCAGAAUAGCUGGCAGUCAUAUUCUUGAAUGCUAUUCCAUGGCUGUACAAGUUUGUUACAGAAACUGCUAUACAUGUGAUGUCUUGUACAGUAUAACACAGGUUGUGUGCACCUGGUAUGGUUGGUUAUUAUUAAUAAAGAUAGUUUAGAAUG